rnacentral:lncRNA from 1 species
CACUAGGAAACUGGUGUAAAUGCUCGUGGACAGUGGUGCCUCUGGUUCCCUCAGUCUGUGUCUCUCUCACCUACGACACCCUCUUUCCUUGGCCUACACACACCAAAAAAAAUAAAACCCGAAAACUUACUUCCUUAUAGGCAGUGAGACCCACGGAUUGACUUUCAUCUCCAUUAGAUAAUUUCCAGGAUAUAACACUAGCCCAUUGGAUGGAUCCCCACUUCGCAAGAGCUGCACCGCUUUGUGGCCCGCGGGCUCCGAACCGCUCCCAUCGCCGUCUACACAGCCUCCCGCGAAACCGACUGGAGCGGCGAGCUGGCUGCCCAUCGCCCCCCGGCUGCCGAGGCCGCGGCUGCAACUGUGCGAGGAAUCCAGUAAUUAUACAAAAGGAAGGUCGGAAGGACAAAACAAACCAACCGAAAUUGACAAAUUCUGAAUUUCCUUUGCUCAGCUUCGGUUGUUCAGCCCGGAGGCAGGCGCGGGCCGCAGCACGAGGCCCACCGCGGCCUAGGAGGCCGGGCCUGCGUGGACGCGUGCACGUGUGCGCGCGCGGGAGGGUGGCGGCCCCGGGGGGCAGUCCUGCGCGGUCUUCUUGAAGUAGCCUCCAAACGAGCCUGAUUUCGAUUCCGCCGCCCGCGGGGCUGCCUCUCCGACUCCCUCGGCGCGGCCGGCCCCUGCGCUCACCCUUCCUCGGCCAAGACCUGGCUUCAUCCAUCCACUCCCCGGUGUCUCAUUGGAACCUCCCUGGGGGAAAGGGGGGGUGGUGGUGAACAACUCCCAGCCGCCAGUUCCAUUUGUUGCGCUUUUUUCCUUCGACACAAUAAAAGUCAAAUUAAUUGAUUCAUACCAUUAAUUACGGCGCGUAGCGUGAAAAGCAAGCUUCCCCUCGGUUAGAGAUCUAUUGUGCUAAUCUCUUGUUCAAUCAGUGUUACCAUCUGAUGCCGGGUCUGGCCCUUACAGAAACUUUUCGACUCGAUUAGCUAAAUGAUGAGACGUGCAGGACCCGCUGGCUGCCGCCCCGACGUCCCGCGCCCGCGCC